rnacentral:rRNA from 1 species
AUUGAACGCUGGCGGCAGGCCUAACACAUGCAAGUCGAACGGUAACAGGAAACAGCUUGCUGUUUCGCUGACGAGUGGCGGACGGGUGAGUAAUGUCUGGGAAACUGCCUGAUGGAGGGGGAUAACUACUGGAAACGGUAGCUAAUACCGCAUAACGUCGCAAGACCAAAGAGGGGGACCUUCGGGCCUCUUGCCAUCGGAUGUGCCCAGAUGGGAUUAGCUAGUAGGUGGGGUAACGGCUCACCUAGGCGACGAUCCCUAGCUGGUCUGAGAGGAUGACCAGCCACAAUGGAACUGAGACACGGUCCAGACUCCUACGGGAGGCAGCAGUGGGGAAUAUUGCACAAUGGGCGCAAGCCUGAUGCAGCCAUGCCGCGUGUAUGAAGAAGGCCUUCGGGUUGUAAAGUACUUUCAGCGGGGAUGAAGGGAGUAAAGUUAAUACCUUUGCUCAUUGACGUUACCCGCAGAAGAAGCACCGGCUAACUCCGUG